GGAGGCAGAAAGAUGGUGACAAACUGAGUGAGACAACAAAGGCUGGACACAAAAAGGCCUUUGUCCCGUGCUGCAGCGGUAAAUCAGCCCUGAAAAGAGCGUAAGCAGCUUGUCCUGCUCGGCCGUUCUCCCACAGACGCACAAAAACAGACGUGCGCGCGCCGCACACACAGCUUGGUUUUUCAUUUGCCUCCUGCAACACGUGCACUGGCGCUUUGUGGGCCACAAAUGAGAGACGAGAGGGGAGAGGAUGGUGAGAGGAAGAGCUGUUAGCUUGCUGAGUGUGAGUCAUGGACAGACUGACUGUCCUCAGGCCUCGGCACACCAUCUGCCCCGCCGCCCCGUCACACAGCUCCCAGCUCUGCAGCAUUCGACACGAACCCGUGUCUUCAGGGAGGUCAUUUGGGAUUGACCAGCAUUCUGGCAAAAUUCCUUUCUGAAACCCGACACCGAACCCACGCAGAAAGCAGCAAACUGCUCCGCUCCAAACAUGCUGGAGCUGCAUCCGUCUGGUCAUUCACCAGGAGCGUUUCGAGAACUCCCAGAACCCGAGGAUCAAUGGAAGAAGAUCCUUUUCAUUAGAGUGACGGUAAACGCUGCAGCAGCAUCGACCCCAAACUCGCUCUAUUUUUGGCCCCGCUCGGCUCUUUGCACACGGCCUUUUCAAGCACUACGAAGUCAAAUCUCACUUAAAAAAGUCUUUUUUAUUAUUCAACAAGUUUAUUAAUGUUACACAUCACCACAUUUAAAAAAAAACAUUAGUCCGUAAAAAAAGGACUGCAGGAUUAUAUCAGAUAACAGCAGAAUUAACAAUAUUAAGGAAUGUCAAGUAUUUUACAGUAUAAUGGGGGCAAAUUCACCAGAAAAUGAAUCUGUUAAAAAGGUAACAACGCAGACUUAAAGGAAUAGUUCAGAUCUUUCAGGCAGGUUUAUGUGGAAAAGUUAUGAACAAUAAAUACCUGACCUGUAGCAAUUUAAAUAAACCUCAGGUUUUGGAGAAACUGAGUUUAAAUUUAUCCCAACUAGUGAGCAAAUUGCUUGUCUGAGUGAGAACGAGACCAAAACUUGAACCUGAAUGGCGAAAUAUUGUUGGAAGUUUGAACAAAACUAAAUUAUAGAAACUUUUACACUUGUCAGAUUUACAUCAAUCUGUUAUAUUGCUUUUGCCCUUAUCUGUUUGUUUCUACUGUUAGCAAAAUAUCUGAGGAAUCCCCUAAUGGAUUUUAAUGAAAUUUUUGUAAAGUAAUCAUUGGAUGUACAUCUAAAAGUGUCUACUUCAAGAUGGCUGACUUUAGAAAACACAAAAAUGGGUUUGACUAAUUUUACAGGUAUUAAACUCGACAUUCGGACCAAGGGGUGAGCAUCAUCACAUACUUUAAGCACAGCUUAUAUUGUGCUGCAGUCAACAUCCUGAGGCUGCAGGUUCGAGUCCAGGUUGAAUCAAGGACGUCUGCCAAAACAAAAACAAA